rnacentral:rRNA from 1 species
GGCGAACGGGUGAGUAACACGUAGGUGAUCUACCUUUGAGUUGGGGAUAGCCCAUGGAAACAUGGGGUAAUACCGAAUACGGUGAGUUUGCUGUGGCAGACUCAAGAAAAGCGCUUCGGCGCUGCUCGAGGAUGAGCCUGCGGCUGAUUAGCUAGUUGGUGGGGUAAGAGCCCACCAAGGCGACGAUCAGUAGCCGGCCUGAGAGGGUGAGCAGCCACACUGGGACUGGGAUACGGCCCAGACUCCUACGGGAGGCAGCAGCUAAGAAUCUUCCGCAAUGGACGAAAGUCUGACGGAGCGACGCCGCGUGGGUGAUGAAGGCCGGAAGGUUGUAAAGCCCUUUUCUAUCUGAGGAAUAAGCGCAGGAGGAAAUGCCUGCGUGAUGACGGUAGGGUAGGAAUAAGCCCCGGCCAAUUACGUGCCAGCAGCCGCGGUAACACGUAUGGGGCGAGCGUUGUUCGGAAUCAUUGGGCGUAAAGGGCGCGCA